rnacentral:tmRNA from 1 species
GGGGGUGCAUUGGCAUUCGACGUGGGUACGGAAGACGAAGACAGCGUGUCGCGGGCCCAACGCCGCGGAAAAACGUCGGGAAAACACAGCUGCCAACGACAGCAACUACGGCCACAUGGCCGUUGCAGCCUAACAAGCUGCACGCCCUCGUGUGAGGCGCUUCAGUAGCGCAAGGGCGUCACUACAGAAGCUAGCGUGCCGGAGGUCCCGGUCGGCGCGCGAAACUCAGGGACUCGCUCUCGAGAGGGCCCGCCUGUGGGCAUGCUCGGGAGCUAAACCCCAAGUUCGCAGGCUACGCACGUAGACGUCUCGCCGGAAGGCUCGCGGACCCGGGUUCGACUCCCGGCGCCUCCACUC